rnacentral:rRNA from 1 species
CUGGUCUUAAGUCUCAGACGUCGCCUGUUUAUCAAAAACAUCGCCUCUUGCUAAACCGAAAGUAUAAGAGGUCCCGCCUGCCCUGUGACUAUAUGUUUAACGGCCGCGGUAUUUUGACCGUGCGAAGGUAGCGCAAUCACUUGUCUUUUAAAUAGGGACCUGUAUGAAUGGCAUAACGAGGGCUUGACUGUCUCCUCUUUCAAGUCAAUGAAAUUGAUCUCCCCGUGCAGAAGCGGGGAUAAGCACAUAAGACGAGAAGACCCUAUGGAGCUUUAGACACUAAAGCAGACCAGUAUUAAUACCCUGAACAUAGGGCACGAAUAAACUGAUCCCUGCCCUAAUGUCUUUGGUUGGGGCGACCGCGGAGAAAUACAAAACCCCCGCAAGGACUAAAUGUACUACAUUCACAACCAAGAGCGACAGCUCUAACUAACAGAACUUCUGACCAAUAAGAUCCGGCAAUGCCGAUCAAUGAACCGAGUUACCCUAGGGAUAACAGCGCAAUCUCCUCUUAGAGCCCAUAUCGACGAGGAGGUUUACGACCUCGAUGUUGGAUCAGGACAUCCUAAUGGUGCAGCCGCUAUUAAGGGUUCGUUUGUUCAACGAUUAAAGUCCUACGUGAUCUGAGUUCAGACCGG